UACGUAGGGGGCAAGCGUUGUUCGGAUUUAUUGGGCGUAAAGAGCGUGUAGGCGGCUUGACAGGUCUGCUGUGAAAACUCGAGGCUCAACCUCGAGAUGUCGGCGGAAACCGUCUGGCUAGAGUCCGGAAGAGGAGAGUGGAAUUCCCGGUGUAGCAGUGAAAUGCGUAGAGAUCGGGAGGAACAUCAGUUGCGAAGGCGGCUCUCUGGACCAGCACUGACACUGAGGCACGAAAGCGUGGGGAGCAAACAGG
rnacentral:rRNA from 1 species